AUAAAAUUUUCCCAUGCGAUAUUUAAAUUUAUGCUUUCUUGCAAAUUGUAUGUACAUCAUUUCAAUCAUUAUAAUAUAAUAUACAAUAUUCAUUAAAAUUAUCAAUCUUCCACUAAUUCAUCAUGCGUGCAGUCACCAAUCGUAUAUCUCGUAUAUUCAUUCAUCAAAUUUAUAAACGCAAACCGUUUAUCAUUCUUCAUGCGUAAAUAUUCUUGAUUUUCGACUAUUUUUACCACACUCUAUUUAAUCUUCGUUCAUCCUAAAACACCUAGCGUGUUCUCCCCCCAAGCCGAACGGUUACUCUGCGCCCCUUCCAACCGGAAUAUUCACCAACCCCGCGAGUUUUUUCCCGUGCAUCGGCAGAUCGAAAUAAAACGGAAGGCAUAAUGAAAAUAACGGCGUCGCUGGACAGCGAAAGGAAUAAACGCGAGGUUGAGGGACGAUGGGCCGAGAGGCAGCGACAAGAGGAGGUGGCGGGCGGAAGGGGUGGGCGUUCUCACGAUUAUACGAAGCAACCCUUUGCUGCGUGAACACGCUGCGCCGGUCGUCGCGAGGCGAGGGCAUGCGUGCAGCCCUGCUAUAUCCAUUACGCUUAUUACAACCCCGACCGCCGCCACUAUCCUUUAACCAUCCGCUCCCUCGUACCACCCACCCUUUUACGUGGAUGAACAUCGAUCGACACCCGACCUGGAACAGUCCGGCCGCCAGAAAAGAAGCUUCUCUCUCAGCAGCGACAAAAGCAGCAACGCGUGGUCGUAUAUAGCUGCGCGCGAAAUGCGGCUCCACAAUUCACAGGAACAGAAUAUAGAGACAGAAGUGACGAAGAAGCACAAGGACGCGACGAGAGGAGGGAAAGGAACCCGCGGGGAGAAGUUCCAUGGACGAGCAGCUGUAUUAAGUGCGCCUAUAGAUUACACUCAGGGAAAAAGUGGAGACCCCGCGCGGCGCGCUAAAACGUUUCAGAAAAAAGAUUACCCUAUGCACUCCAUACGUCAUUCGGCCGUGGCUCGUUCGAGUGCACACGCGUAAGCACGAGUGUCUUCGCGCGGCGCCGCGCUGCUUUUCCGUCGGCCGGACGUCGCCAUCUUCGACUCUCGAAGAGCAAAAGUGAUUUUUUUCGAUAUUUUAAAGGCUGAGAAUCAUAAAUUACGUGGAAAUUAUUUUAAGAAAUUCAUAUUUAGAAACUAAUAUUUUUAUAUUCUCCGGUUGCAAUAUUGGAUUUUCAGUAAUUAAGUUAUAUCGAAAUAACUUAUAUCGA